rnacentral:rRNA from 1 species
GGCCUAACACAUGCAAGUCGAGCGGUAGAGAGAAGCUUGCUUCUCUUGAGAGCGGCGGACGGGUGAGUAAUGCCUAGGAAUCUGCCUGGUAGUGGGGGAUAACGUUCGGAAACGGACGCUAAUACCGCUUACGUCCUACGGGAGAAAGCAGGGGACCUUCGGGCCUUGCGCUAUCAGAUGAGCCUAGGUCGGAUUAGCUAGUUGGUGGGGUAAUGGCUCACCAAGGCGACGAUCCGUAACUGGUCUGAGAGGAUGAUCAGUCACACUGGAACUGAGACACGGUCCAGACUCCUACGGGAGGCAGCAGUGGGGAAUAUUGGACAAUGGGCGAAAGCCUGAUCCAGCCAUGCCGCGUGUGUGAAGAAGGUCUUCGGAUUGUAAAGCACUUUAAGUUGGGAGGAAGGGUUGUAGAUUAAUACUCUGCAAUUUUGACGUUACCCGACAGAAUAAGCACCGGCUAACUCUGUGCCAGCAGCCGCGGUAAUACAGAGGGUGCAAGCGUUAAUCGGAAUUACUGGGCCGUAAAGCGCGCGUAGGUGGUUAGUUAAGUUGGAUGUGAAA